rnacentral:misc_RNA from 1 species
UUUCUUCAAAUCCAUCUUAUCAGAUGAUCCCGAACCGGACCCUCCACUACCCAAAAAGCCCCAUGAUUCUUCACCGGAAAAGGAAAUUGUACCGGAUCAGAAUCUUGAAAAACCUAAUUCACGAUCUGAUUCAAACGCCGCCGACGGCGCUGAUGGUCCUGAUGCUGGUGUUUGGAGUUUCGGAGGUUUGUUGAAGACAUUAUCAACCCGAUCCGAAUCAGUGCUCGAGACAUACCGUCGGGAUCUACAGGAAUUCGGAUCCGGGUUGAAGAAAGAAACCGAAUUGUUCCGUGAAGUAGCUAGUCGAGCUGUUAAGGAUCUUCCUAACUCGAUCGAGGUCGGAACUACCGUCAGCCACGCCAUUGACGGUGUUAUCAAAUCGACAACUGAGAUUAUAUCACAAGGUAAAGAUACUCUUCUCGCUUCCUCUGAUGCUGAAUCCGAAACCCCAGAUGCGAAUCGGACCUUGAAUUCGGGUCGGUACAGUCGGUUUGAAUCUCAAUUGAUGAAUAUCCAGAGUGACCCGAAUACGUUCUGUGUGGAUCCUGAGGAUUUGGAGGAGUACAAGAAGUGGAAAUCUGAGUUUGAUUCGAAGGAAAAUAGUAAGGAAGUUGAGAUUUUGAUUGAAGAAAAUGGAUCUUUGGAAGGUAUAUUCAAAAGGGUUGUGCCUAAUGAAGUUGAUAAUGAGACUUUUUGGUGUCGAUAUUUUUAUAAAGUGUAUAAGCUUAAGCAACAGGAGAGUGUAAGAGCUAAUCUUGUGAAGAGAGCAAUAUCUAUAGAUGAUGAAGAAGAAUUGUCUUGGGAUGUCGAUGAUGAUGACGACAAUAAUGAACAAGAGAACAUUGCCAAAUCGAAAUUCGAUGAGAAGGGAAAAGAGGGUUCUGUUGUUGAAAGCUCUGUCAAUGAUGUAAAGAAAGAAUCUGCCACUCUAGAUUCAACAAACGUUGCAAAGGAAGUGCCUGCUAAUAAGAGUGAGCCAAGCAAGCAGGAUUCGACCAACAUUGCAAAGGAAGUGCCUACUAAUAAAAGUGAACCAAGCAAGCAGGAUUCGACCAACAUUGCAAAGGAAGUGCCUACUAAUAAAAGUGAACCAAGCAAGCAGGAUUCGACCAACGCUGUAAAACAGGACGAAUCACAAACUAUAAGUUCGGCUUCUGUUGAUAGGAAAGAAGAGAGUCAGCCUAAUGUAGAUGGUGGUGGCAAGAGUAAGGUCGUAGAAUCAGUUGGGAGUAACAAAGAUAGUAAGAAAGAAGACGCUGAAGUUACUCCUCUGGUUAAAAAGGAGGAAGAGGUAGUAAAAGGUUCAGAGGGGAAAAGUGAUAAGGAUGGAUCAGGCAAAGAUGGUGAUGUCCCUAUUGCUUCAAGUCAAAAGACGACUGGGGCCGAUGAGGACGACUUGGAUUGGGAUGAGAUUGAGGACGUUGACGGUAUUGAUGACAAAAAGGCAACUUCUCAUGUUGCAAGCACCAAUAGAGAUGAUUUGAGGAAGAGGCUUAGUGUUGAAGAGGACGAUGAGGAUUUGAGUUGGGAUUGAAGAUGAUGACAACCUGUGAAAGCUUUUUGAUCGUCAUUCAAAAUAUGCAGAAAGCUGGAUGUCAAUGCUGUCAACGUACAACAGAACUCAAGAAUUAAACUUUAAAGCUUGAAACCUAGUAAAGUAAGAUAACGUUUAUUGUCUCAGGCAGUUUGUUUAAUUGUGCUUCAUGAUUUUCAUUCUUUUCAUUUUACUUUUAGCUUAGUAGUCGCGAUUUCCAUGUCUAGCUGUUCAUUUAUAAUGUGAACAUGUUUUGUGCCCUUUGUAUACUUGGGAAAUUUGAAUGAAAG